CCGGCGGUUCGCCGGUGGGGUGGUCGGCGGCUUCGGGCUGCUGGCCCUCGGCGCCUCCGGUGCCUUCGGAGUCGUCGGG
rnacentral:tRNA from 1 species